rnacentral:tRNA from 1 species
GAGAUGGCUGAGUGGUCGAAAGCGGCGGUCUUGAAAACCGUUGAGGGUGCGAGCCCUCCGGGGGUUCGAAUCCCUCUCUC